AGCUUCGUACCUCAGCUGGUACAGCGCUCGACACGUUUGGGUAUGUUUCUAUCGCUGGUUCGAAUCCAGCCGAAGCUC